AACGAACGCUGGCGGCAUGCCUAACACAUGCAAGUCGAACGAGACCUUCGGGUCUAGUGGCGCACGGGUGCGUAACGCGUGGGAACCUGCCCUUAGGUUCGGAAUAACUCCCCGAAAGGGGUGCUAAUACCGGAUAAUGUCUUCGGACCAAAGAUUUAUCGCCUUUGGAUGGGCCCGCGUUGGAUUAGCUAGUUGGUAGGGUAAAAGCCUACCAAGGCGACGAUCCAUAGCUGGUCUGAGAGGAUGAUCAGCCACACUGGGACUGGGACACGGCCCAGACUCCUAGGGGGGGGAGCAGGGGGGAUUAUGGGAAAAUGGGCGAAAGCCUGAUCCAUCAAGGCCGGGUGGGUGAUGAGGGCCUUAGGGUUGUAAACCCCUUUUUCCCGGGAUGUUAAUAACGGACCCGGGGAAUAAACCCCCGCCCACUUCCUG
rnacentral:rRNA from 1 species